rnacentral:rRNA from 1 species
AUUGAACGCUGGCGGCAGGCCUAACACAUGCAAGUCGAGCGAGCGGCGGACGGGUGAGUAAUGUUUGGGAAACUGCCUGAUGUAGGGGGAUAACUACUGGAAACGGUAGCUAAUACCGCGCACCAUCAGAUUUGCCCAGAUGGGGUUGGCUAGUAGGUGGGGUAACGGCUCACCUAGGCGACGAUCCCUAGCUGGUCUGAGAGGAUGACCAGCCACACUGGAACUGAGACACGGUCCAGACUCCUACGGGAGGCAGCAGUGGGGAAUAUUGCACAAUGGGCGCAAGCCUGAUGCAGCCAGGACGCGGGUGUGAAGAAGGCCUUCGGGUUGUAAAACACUUUCAGCGGGGAGGCGUUACCCGCAGAAGAAGCACCGGCUAACUCCGUGCCAGCCGCCGCGGUAAUAC